rnacentral:tRNA from 1 species
GGGGAUGUAGCUCAGAGGUACAGCACUUGCCUGCUGUGUACGAGGCCCUGGGUUUGAUCCCCAGCCCCCCA